GAUUAACGCUGGCGGCGUGCCUAACACAUGCAAGUCGAACGAUGAAACUUAGUAGACUUCUUCGGAAAGACACUAAGCGGAUUAGUGGCGAACGGGUGAGUAACUCGUUAGUAACCUGCCUUACACAAUGGGAUAGCCUUUUGAUACGAAGAAUCAUACCCUAUCAUACCAUAAAAGCUCAUGCUAGACUGUUCAAAGUGAUAACGGUGUAAGAUGGACUUGCGUCUGAUUAGCUAGUUGGUGAGAUCAAAGCUCACCAAGGCCACGAUCAGUAGCGGGAUUGAGACAGUGUACAGACACAUUGGGAAGGAGACACGGCGCAGACUCCUACGGGAGGCAGAAGUGGGGAAUUGUGAACAAGGGGGGAAAACCAGAUGCAGCGAAGCCGAGUGAUUUAGAAGGAGUUCGGGUUGUAAAAAUCUGUUGUAUAGGAAGAAAAUGACAGUACUAUACGAAUAAGGUCCGGCUAAUUACGUG
rnacentral:rRNA from 1 species